rnacentral:rRNA from 1 species
UACAGAGGUCCCAAGCGUUGUUCGGAUUCACUGGGCGUAAAGGGCGCGUAGGUGGUCGGGUAAGUCUGAUGUGAAAUCUCCGAGCUCAACUCGGAAAUGGCAUUGGAUACUAUUCGGCUGGAGGGUUGGAGGGGGGACUGGAAUUCUCGGUGUAGCGGUGAAAUGCGUAGAUAUCGAGAGGAACACCAGUGGCGAAGGCGAGUCCCUGGACAACUCCUGACACUGAGACACGAAAGCGUGGGUAGCAAACAGG